GGAGGGUGCAAGCGUUGCUCGGAAUUAUUGGGCGUAAAGGGUAGGUAGGUGGUCUCAUUUGUCUGGGGUGAAAGCCUUGAGCUUAACUCAAGAAGUGCCCCAGAAACGGUGAGACUAGAGUCUUGGAGAGGGUCGUGGAAUUCCCGGUGUAGCGGUGAAAUGCGUAGAGAUCGGGAGGAACACCAGAGGCGAAGGCGGCGACCUGGACAAGUACUGACACUCAACUACAAAAGCGUGGGGAGCAAACAGGAUUAGAUACCCUGGUAGUCCACGCUGUAAACGAUGGGUACUAGGUUUGGUGGGUCUUGACCCCCGCCGAACCGGCGCUAACGCAAUAAGUACCCCGCCUGGGAAGUACGGUCGCAAGACUA
rnacentral:rRNA from 1 species